GAUGAACGCUGGCGGCGUGCCUAAUACAUGCAAGUCGAGCGAACAGAUAAGGAGCUUGCUCCUUUGACGUUAGCGGCGGACGGGUGAGUAACACGUGGAUAACCUACCUAUAAGACUGGGAUAACUUCGGGAAACCGGAGCUAAUACCGUAUAACCUAUUGAACCGCAUGGUUCAAUAGUGAAAGGCGGCUUUGCUGUCACUUAUAGAUGGAUCCGCGCCGUAUUAGCUAGUUGGUAAGGUAACGGCUUACCAAGGCAACGAUACGUAGCCGACCUGAGAGGGUGAUCGGCCACAACAGAACUGAGACACGGUCCAGACUCCUACGGGAGGCAGCAGUAGCGAAUCGUCCGCAAUAGGCGGAAGACUGACGGAGCAACGCCGCGUGAGUGAUGAAGGUCUUCGGAUCGUAAAACUCUGUUAUCAGGGAAGAACAAAUGUGUAAGUAAAUGUGCACAUCUUGACGGUACCUGAUAAAAAAGCCACGGCUAACUACGUG
rnacentral:rRNA from 1 species